UCUCAUAGCUGAAAACUGGGAUUGACCAUUUAGGACAUGUCAGAUGAUCAACUGAAAAAGCCCAGCUGUGGUAAAAUGGGAGGAUAUAAACAUGACUGUUAAAAGUUAUCAAGAAGGAAGAUGGAGAAAACAUUGUACUGACAACUAUUUGGAUUCACACAAAGAACUCCAAAAGAAGAGAAAUAGACUACUAUCUUAUAAGGGAAGUUGGGUAAGCUGAGAUGUCUACUCUGUCUUAACACUUCCUGUGGAGCUGUGAGAAGACUCGUUGCUGCAUCUCUGGCACCCUCAGCCAAGCCCACACCACAUCAGUGACAAAGUGAAGACUUCACACUUACUGUAGACAGAAGUUUCUGUGUGUCCCUGAGGACCACAUUCCUUUGGACUCUGCUAAUCUGAAUUCAUAAGGAUGCCUUCCUUUAGCUGGUGCAGCAGAUGGUCUAUCCUCGGGAACUCUCCAUAUGCUACUAAAAUUGUCCAUACCAUGGUGGUGGAAAGAUGGAUCUACUGUUACAACAGGACACUGCCCUUGUAGAAGACAUCAUGAGUUUGGUCCCAGUACCUGCAAUGGGCAGCUCACAACCACUGUGGUUCCAAUCAAGAUCACUUGCCAUCUUCUGGACUUCUGAGAGAGCUGUACUCAUCCAUACACAUAUUCACAC